UCUCAUGCUGUGGGAAGGAAAGGGCUGAAGUCUGGCGCCAGCAUGAAGAGGAGCUCGUCUCUCAGAUUCCCACAGUUUCAACAGCUCUCGGACCACCUUGCAGGACAGAUUGGGGCAGAGACAGACAAUGAUGGCUGGCACCACACUUUGAUCAGGACUACUCAGUGGUGUCUAUCUCUUGCCCUCUACUUAAAGCUCAUGUCAGGAUCCUGAGUACUUACAGGACUCCCUGGCUCCCUUUCCCAGUGUGGCCACAUGGCAGAGAUUUCCUUUUGUUGCUUUUCAUUAUAUCAUAAUUGGCCUACUGAGGAUGAGUUGCCCAGCCUGACUUGAUUGGCCCAGGCACAACUAACAAUUCCUGUAUCGCUGGGGCCUGAAUCUAUGGCCUUGCCCCUGUUGAGCAGGUGCUUCACCACUGAGCCACACCCUGCUGGACGCUCUUAGCAUCACGUGCCUUCUCUGAGAGGAGCCGGUCUGAUAGCUCAAAACAAAGAGGUGCAUCCAUGCCAAGCACGGUGCUACAUGCAUGCCCAUCCCAGCACUGAGAGCUGGAGCAAGAACAUGGCGAGUUUGAGGACAGCCUGGACCUCCUAUCCCAGAAAGGCUGGAAAUAGUGGGAUAGGGGGACCCAAACCACGGAUGGUCUGAAAAACAAGAUGGAAGCAGAUUGCCUCCCUUUAAAAUGGUCGCUAUGGGAACCCCAAAAAUAAAAUUAAAAAAAAAAGG
rnacentral:lncRNA from 1 species